ACACAGAUCACCUGGACACCUUGUUAAAAUGCAGAUUCCAUUUCAGCAGAUCUGGGUGGAGCCUGGAACUCUGCAUUUCUAACAAGCAUUCAGGUGAUGUAGAU
rnacentral:pre_miRNA from 1 species